rnacentral:rRNA from 1 species
GACGAACGCUGGCGGCGUGCUCAACACAUGCAAGUCGAACGGUAAGGCCCUUCGGGGUACACGAGUGGCGAACGGGUGAGUAACACGUGGGUGAUCUGCCCUGCACUUCGGGAUAAGCCUGGGAAACUGGGUCUAAUACCGGAUAGAACCACUGCCUGCAUGGGUGGUGGUGGAAAGCUUUUGCGGUGUGGGAUGGGCCCGCGGCCUAUCAGCUUGUUGGUGGGGUGAUGGCCUACCAAGGCGACGACGGGUAGCCGGCCUGAGAGGGUGACCGGCCACACUGGGACUGAGAGACGGCCCAGACUACUACGGGAGGCAGCAGUGGGGAAUAUUGCACAAUGGGCGCAAGCCUGAUGCAGCGACGCCGCGUGAGGGAUGACGGCCUUCGGGUUGUAAACCUCUUUCAGCACCGACGAAGCGCAAGUGACGGUAGGUGCAGAAGAAGGACCGGCCAACUACGUGCCAGCCGCCGCGGUAA